GCGCUUAGUUGCCGGGGGUAGACCCGAAACCAAGUGAUCUAGCCAUGGCCAGGAUGAAGCUCGGGUAAAACCGAGUGGAGGUCCGAACCGCAGCAGGUUGAAAACUGCCCGGAUGAGCUGUGGCUAGGGGUGAAAGGCUAAUCAAACUUGGAGAUAGCUGGUUCUCCCCGAAAUAUAUUGAGGUAUAGCCCCACGUGAACACUGUCGGAGGUAGAGCACUGGAUGGGCUAGGGGUCCUACCAGAUUACCGAACCCAACCAAACUCCGAAUACCGGCAAGUGAUGCGCGGGAGUCAGACUGCGGGCGAUAAGGUCCGUGGUCGAGAGGGAAACAACCCAGACCGCCGGCUAAGGUCCCCAAAUUCACGCUAAGUGGGAAAGGAUGUGGAAGCGCUCAAACAACCAGGAGGUUGGCUUAGAAGCAGCCACCCUUUAAAAAGUGCGUAAUAGCUUACUGGUCUAGUGAGUCCGCGCCGAAAAUGUAACGGGGCUCAAGCGUGAUACCGAAGCUGCGGGUUCGUGACACCUUCGGGUGUCUCGAGCGGUAGGGGAGCGUUCCAGCGGCUGUGAAGCUCGACGGAAACGACGGGUGGAGCUGCUGGAAGUGCUUAUGCGGACACGAGUAGCGAUAAAACGGGUGAGAAACCCGUUCGCCGUAAGCCUAAGGGUUCCUGAGUAAAGUUAAUCUUCUCAGGGUUAGUCGGUCCCUAAGCCGAGGGCGAGAGCCGUAGGUGAUGGGAAACGGGUUAAUAUUCCCGUACCACCAGAGGAACGUUCGACCGAAGGGGGGACGGAGAAGGGUAGUCGAUCCGGGUGCUGGAUGUCCCGGUACAAGCCCGUAGGCGGGGGAGGCAGGCAAAUCCACCUCCCCAUUCCAAACGCCGAGAGGUGACGUCGAGAGCCGCAAGGCUCACAAAGUCGAUGAGCCCAUGCUCCCUAGAAAAGCCUCGUAGGGAGUUCGUCUGGUGACCGUACCGCAAACCGACUCAGGUAGGCGGGCAGAGCAUGCCAAGGCGCUUGAGAGAACUCUGGUCAAGGAACUCGGCAAAUUGACACCGUAACUUCGGGAGAAGGUGUGCCUCGGAGGGUGAAGGGACUUGCUCCUGGAGCUCACCGAGGUUGCAGAGAGCAGGGGGUAGCGACUGUUUACUAAAAACACAGGACUCUGCGAACACGGAAGUGGACGUAUAGGGUCUGACGCCUGCCCGGUGCCGGAAGGUUAAGGGGACUCGUCAGCGGCUUCGGCCGCGAAGCGAUGAACCGAAGCCCCGGUAAACGGCGGCCGUAACUAUAACGGUCCUAAGGUGAAUUAGUCGCCUUAGUAAAACUGAACCAUAUGCGGGAAACUCCUCUUACAGCCGCGCGGUACUCGUCGGUCGCAAGGUCCGGCAGUAAAAAUCCGACGGACACGGGGACAAUCCGCAGGGAAGGCUCCUUCUGUCAGGAGAACCCUCAGAGACUUGAUGUUCAGGACUGGCCGAUGAAGCUGGACGCACAAUGGGUCACUGGCUUCGUGGAUGGUGAAGGAUGUUUCUACGUGGGAGUCAAUCCCCACCAGGAGAUGUCGGCAGGAUUCCAGGUCCUGCCGGAGUUCACCGUCGUACAGCACGAGCGUGACACGCAGAUCCUGCACGCCUUGAAGGAUUUCUUCGGGUGCGGCGUGGUUCGGACGAACCACGGCGACCGGAUGGCCUUCCGGGUGCGCGGGAAGGAGCACUUGCUCGAGCGUGUCAUCCCAUUCUUCGUCGAGCAUCCGCUGAAGUCGAAGAAGCGCGCCGAUUUCGAGAAAUUUCGGCGCAUCCUUCUGAUGAUGGACGCGGGCGAGCAUCUGACCGCGGAAGGGAUCGAAAACAUUCGCACGAUCGCCGCGCAGAUGAAUCGAGGCCAGUCAAGGUAAAGUCCGGCCCCGUCGGAAACGGCGGGGGUGAACCGAGCGAAAUUCCUUGUCGGGUAAGUUCCGACCUGCACGAAUGGCGUAACGACUUCCCCACUGUCUCGACCAGAGACUCAGCGAAACUGAAAAGCCGGUGAAGAUGCCGGCGACCCGCGGCAAGACGGAAAGACCCCGUGCACCUUUACUACAGCUUCGCAGUGAUCGUCGGUUCAACAUGUGUAGGAUAGGUGGGAGGCUUUGAAGCCGGGACGCUAGUCUCGGUGGAGCCAACCUUGAAAUACCACCCUUGCUGUGCUGCCGAUCUAACCCAGCCCCGUCAUCCGGGGCGGAGACACUGCGUGGUGGGUAGUUUGACUGGGGCGGUCGCCUCCCAAAGAGUAACGGAGGCGCGCGAAGGUUCCCUCAGGCUGAUUGGAAACCAGCCGCAGAGUGUAAAGGCAUAAGGGAGCUUGACUGCGAGACCUACAAGUCGAGCAGGUGCGAAAGCAGGCCUUAGUGAUCCGGUGGUUCCGCAUGGAAGGGCCAUCGCUCAUCGGAUAAAAGGUACGCCGGGGAUAACAGGCUGAUCUCCCCCAAGAGUUCACAUCGACGGGGAGGUUUGGCACCUCGAUGUCGGCUCGUCACAUCCUGGGGCUGAAGCAGGUCCCAAGGGUUCGGCUGUUCGCCGAUUAAAGUGGCACGCGAGCUGGGUUUAGAACGUCGUGAGACAGUUCGGUCCCUAUCUGCCGUGGGCGUUGGAGAUUUGAGGAGAGCUGUCCCUAGUACGAGAGGACCGGGAUGGACGCACCUCUGGUGUACCGGUUGUCGCGCCAGCGGCACAGCCGGGUAGCCAAGUGCGGAUGGGAUAACCGCUGAAAGCAUCUAAGUGGGAAGCCCACUCCAAGAUGAGAUCUCCCCGGGACUUCGGUCCCCUGAAGGGCCGUCCAAGACGAGGACGUCGAUAGGCCGGAGGUGGAAGCGCAGCAAUGCGUGGAGCUGACCGGUACUAAUCGCCCGUGAGGCUUGACC
rnacentral:rRNA from 1 species